rnacentral:rRNA from 1 species
GACGAACGCUGGCGGCGUGCCUAACACAUGCAAGUCGAACGGGGUUAUUUCCUUCGGGGAAUAACUUAGUGGCGAACGGGUGAGUAACGCGUGAGGAACCUGCCUUUCAGUGGGGGACAACAGUUGGAAACGACUGCUAAUACCGCAUAAUGUAUCGAGGGGGCAUCCCCUUGAUACCAAAGCUUUAUGUGCUGAAAGAUGGCCUCGCGUCUGAUUAGAUAGUUGGUGGGGUAACGGCUCACCAAGUCAACGAUCAGUAGCCGGUCUGAGAGGAUGAACGGCCACAUUGGGACUGAGAUACGGCCCAGACUCCUACGGGAGGCAGCAGUGGGGAAUAUUGGGCAAUGGGGGAAACCCUGACCCAGCAACGCCGCGUGGAGGAAGGAGGCCUUCGGGUUGUAAACUUCUUUUAGCAGGGACGAAGGACGUGACGGUACCUGCAGAAAAAGCAACGGCUAACUACGUGCCAGCCGCCGCAGUAACAC